GGACUACUGGGGUAUCUAAUCCUGUUUGCUCCCCACGCUGUCGCGCCUCAGUGUCAGCAGUAGCCCAGCAGGCCGCCUUCGCCACCGGUGUUCUUCCGGAUCUCUACGCAUUCCACCGCUACACCCGGAAUUCCACCUGCCUCUACUACGCUCGAGCGAAACAGUCCGCAUGGCAGACACGGGGUUGAGCCCCGGGCUUUCACCACACGCUUAUCUCGCCACCUACGCGCCCUUUACGCCCAGUGAUUCCGGACAACGCUCGCACCCUCUGUAUUACCGCGGCUGCUGGCAC
rnacentral:rRNA from 1 species